CUUUUAAAACCGAAAGUAGGAUUUCUAGAUGUAUACGUCCAUUUCGACGGACGCGAUAAUUUUUCAGUUUUAAAGCGCAAAAAAGGAUUUCUACCUUGUAACUACCAGAUAUAUUCUAAUUGGCUUAUUCUAUUUUCCGAACCUGAAGGAUGCUCAAAAGCAACAUCAAUGGACAAUUUCGUGUCGUCGCCGAACAUCAUUUUAUAUGGGGUGUGAGCUGUAGCAGAGUGAACAGAUGACCUGUAUGCCAUCAAGCAGAAAGAGCGAUCCGUGAUGGGAACAAUGAAACCAUGCAAGUCCGGACACAACAGCAGAACAUUUUGGUUUUUAUUGUCAUAAUAAAUAAACA